rnacentral:tRNA from 1 species
AGUAGCUCAAUUGGCAGAGCAGCGGUCUCCAAAACCGCAGGUUGGGGGUUCGAUCCCCUCCUG